AUGAAGCAUCAAGGCAAUGGAUUGAACAAUCAGAUGAAGCAUCCAGCUCGUGGAGAAGCAAGGUCUGCAGGAAGACCAAUCGGACUGAGGCAAGAUAGUACAAUUGAUGGCAAUGGACGGAUGAGGGCAAGAUGGUCUUCGCGAAAAAGCUUGGCCGCUUGCUCGCCGGCUUGGAGGCAGCUAAGCCCUGGGUCUGGCAAGGCAAUUGCUUGCUUACUAGUGGAGAAGGCUUCUUCGGGUAAAAUCAAGAAGGUGAAGAAGGCUCUCAGGAGCAUAGGCAAGAAGAGUGGCGCCAUUGGUAAAGCGUCCGUGGCUGAUUAA
rnacentral:rRNA from 1 species